AUUGUCGUUUCAAUUAGAAAAAUUCUUUCCCAAAUCUUCAUUAUUGCCGUUAAAAUUUGAAAUCUAUCACUCCCAAAUCUUCAUUAUUCGCUCAUCUCGGCUAGCUCAAAUUCUUGAAUGGUGAACGAAUCAAGGACAUCCUCUCUCAAAUGAUGCUCAACGAGAAAAUCGGAAAAAUGACUCAGAUUGAGCGCGUGUUGCCACUCCUUCCGCCAUUAAAGACCCCUCCAUAGGGUGUGUACUGAGUGUUGGUGGGAGUGGGCCUUUUGACAAUGCCAAGUCCUCAGAUCGGGUGGCCUUGGCCGACACUUUCCAGAAGGGUGCGCUGCUGUCGCGGCUUGAGAUCCCAAUGCCCUAUCAAUCGUUGAUGUGAUGCUGACUUGAUCCGGAGGAUUGGUGGUGCAGCUAGCGGAAUUCACUACACUUUUGCUCCAUGUGUUGCUGCACUACGAUUUUGGAAGCUAUAAGGGAAGUUGUUGGGGCCAAAACUAUGAAGAAAAUCCAUCUGGAAGUUCCUUUGACAUUGUGGUCGUGGGCGAGGGUCCAUAUGUGGAAUCUGGUGGCGACAGUUCAGACUUCAAGAUCCCCUCCAAUGGAGCUGAACUUGCCAGUGUCGUCACUGAUCAAGUCCCCACAUUUGUGAUCUUGAUCUCCGGUAGGCCUCUGGCUAUAGAGCCACAGCUAUUGAAUUAAGCGCACACCCUCGUUGCUGCGAAGGAGGCGAGCAGGAACGAGGGUGCUCUUGAGGUCUAACUCGUCCAUGAUAUUAGUGGCUUAGAUUACUAAGUCCAUUCUUCUCUCACUUUAUCUUGUUCAUGCAAUCUAAUUAUUUGCACUAGAGCUUCAAAAACUUACCUAUGCAGAGCAAAUCGAGUCUAAAGGAGCUUUUAAUUAAAAUAAUAAUACUUUUUUUUUCUAUAAAUUUCAAAUAUUUGUUAUAUUGAUAGUAAUAAUCACCAAAAGUGUACCCACAAGGGAGAGGUGUGAAUGCAUACGUACGUUCCUUCA